GACGUAGGGUGCGAGCGUUGUCCGGAAUUAUUGGGCGUAAAGAGCGUGUAGGCGGCCCGGUAAGUCCGCUGUGAAAGUCGGGGGCUCAACCCUCGAAUGCCGGUGGAUACUGUCGGGCUAGAGUGCGGAAGAGGCGAGUGGAAUUCCUGGUGUAGCGGUGAAAUGCGCAGAUAUCAGGAGGAACACCAAUUGCGAAGGCAGCUCGCUGGGACGUAACUGACGCUGAGACGCGAAAGCGUGGGGAGCAAACAGG
rnacentral:rRNA from 1 species